rnacentral:misc_RNA from 1 species
GAUGAAGAACGCAGCGAAAUGCGAUAAGUAAUGUGAAUUGCAGAAUUCAGUGAAUCAUCGAAUAUUUGAACGCACAUUGCGCCCGUCAGUAUUCUGGCGGGCAUGCCUGUUCGAGCGUCAUUACGCCCCUCAAGUCCCCUGUGGACUUGGUGUUGGGGAUCGGCGAGGCUGGUUUUCCAGCACAGCCGUCCCUUAAAUUAAUUGGCGGUCUCGCCGUGGCCCUCCUCUGCGCAGUAGUAAAACACUCGAAACAGGAGCCCGGCGCGGUCCACUGCCGUAAAACCCCCCAACUUUUUAUAGUUGACCUCGAAUCAGGUAGGACUACCCGCUGAACUUAAGCAUAUCAAUAAGCGGAGGA